rnacentral:rRNA from 1 species
CCUACGGGAGGCAGUAGUGGGGAAUCUUGCGCAAUGGGCGAAAGCCUGACGCAGCCAUGCCGCGUGAAUGAUGAAGGUCUUAGGAUUGUAAAAUUCUUUCACCGGGGACGAUAAUGACGGUACCCGGAGAAGAAGCCCCGGCUAACUUCGUGCCAGCAGCCGCGGUAAUACGAAGGGGGGCUAGCGUUGCUCGGAAUUACUGGGCGUAAAGGGAGCGUAGGCGGAUAGUUUAGUCAGAGGUGAAAGCCCAGGGCUCAACCUUGGAAUUGCCUUUGAUACUGGCUAUCUUGAGUGUGGGAGAGGUUAGCGGAACUCCGAGUGUAGAGGUGAAAUUCGUAGAUAUUCGGAAGAACACCAGUGGCGAAGGCGGCUAACUGGCCCAUUACUGACGCUGAGGCUCGAAAGCGUGGGGAGCAAACAGGAUUAGAUACCCUGGUAGUCCACGCCGUAAACGAUGAGUGCUAGUUGUCGGCAUGCAUGCAUGUCGGUGACGCAGCUAACGCAUUAAGCACUCCGCCUGGGGAGUACGGUCGCAAGAUUAAAACUCAAAUGAAUUGACGG